rnacentral:ncRNA from 1 species
UCUAGUCUGGCACGGUGAAGAAACAUGAGAAGUGUAGAAUAAGUGGGAGGCCCCCGGCGCCCCCCUGUCCCUGCAAGGGGACAGGGUGGGGCAAGGCCGGAGGUGAAAUACCACUACUCUGAUUGUUUAUUCACUGACCCCGUGAGGUGGCCCCAAGGGGCUCUUGCUGCUGGCGCCAAGCGCCCGGCCACAUGCACAUGCCAAAUUGUAA